rfam:Megaselia scalaris, Durham, NC isolate 2 -- Noor lab, WGS project CAQQ02000000 data, contig: ctg0000093006
AAAACGGUCCUUUUCAGGACCACCAAUUUUAUUUAGAAAGAGUUUU